UUGGUUUUUUCACGACUUCUGCCAAGGUCUGGGCUGUGGCCUUGCAUUUUGAAGAGCUCUGCAUGCAAGGAAAGAAGCGCCACAAGCUUCGGGCGCAGUGUAUGGAUGCACGUCGAGCGGCAGAAUUUAGCUAUCUCUACUGUCAAGAGGAGGAAGAGCUGAAAACUGGGUCUGGAGAAGUUCACUCGAGGAGCAGCACAUGCGUACAUCAGCGCCUUUCCAAGGCCAGUGACCCCAAGUAAAAUUGAUACUGAAUUGUGUCAGCACCUGAUGGUGGUAUGACCUAUUCCUAAACUAGCCUACUUUGCCUGUUAGUGAACAGUGGAGCAGAAUACUACCAAUUCUGUCACAAGCCGUGGCAAGAUAUGGGAUCGUACCGUUGUGCUGAAGGUGUGCGAGCUGGGCUGCAAGGCGGUUGCUGCAGUAGAUCGCGAUGCGGCCCAAGUGAAUGCAUGAUUCACUGUCUGGAUACCAUGUUAUUGGAUAUGACUGCGCUGUUAGACAUAUUAUUCUGACCUGACAAGUACUGGGUGAAAGAUGAGGAGGCACCGACGUGCAGAUACUGCGGUGAUGAGUUUACACUGACCAAUCGGCGUCAUCACUGUCGUCUGUGCGGCAACAUAUUUCAUGGUGGGGAGUGCGCACAGAAGGCGGGCCAGUUUGAGGUGUGGGUGUGCAGGUUCUGCUUCGAGUACCACACUAUCUACAAGGGCCCCAUGCAGGGUGGUUGUGUUAUAACAAAGUACACUAAGGAUCUGGAGAGGAACCACCAGAGACACUUCUGGCUCUCCAGUGACGGCCGAGAGCUCAUCUGGAAGGAAGUGGAGUCGCGCUCCCGUCCAAGCAACAUAACAGCUGCACCAAAGAAGAAAAUCAUCACAACUCCCACUGUGCUUGUGGAUGAGAAGACGGGGAUUCGUCUGGGCACCUUCAUCUAUAUGUUAUUAGGUGAGGGUGAGCCUCAGAAACGGUGGUUGGAUCGAGCGAGCUGGACAGACAUAUACCUGCUCUACGUAAGCUGGAAAUCCGACGUGACUGUACAGCUCCAGGGGCACGUCUCAGAAACGUUUCGAUACGUAUUCUAUGCUAAGUCGACAUGGACUUCGUCGCGUAACCACAUGGCAAAGCUUGGACAUCAGUGGGAACUUGAGCAGAAAUGGCGUUUCGAGUACUUUGUCAUUUUUGACGAGGACGUACUACUGGGGUAUCGGGCGCCGGAGAUCCCCACGAAAGUAGUGCUGGAUUUCCCGAAUGAUGGCAGCAUUGCACAAGUUCAACGAAGUUCUUCUCCGAGAUCGGCCCAUGAAAGCGGGAGUCAGCUUCAACGAAUUUGACUGGAACAAGAAAAAUCUGCGUUGCCAGAGCCAAUGUCAGGCGGACAACUUGGUUCUACUGUUCAUAACCUCCGCUUGGCUGACGUAACGCGGAUACAAGCCAGGGGUCCACCAGGACUGGAAACAGGUUACGGCCACUGUUAUGCGUUUCAAGUCAUCACCGGCGAACGAGCAUUUGUGCUGGAAGCUGCCAACGUCAAGGAUUAUAACAUCUGGACGGAAGGACUCAAGUGUGCUGUGUACGUCAGCCAAGCGCACCAAAGCCUUCAGGGGCGGCAGCUGGAAGAUCGUGCAAGACGACACGCCAAGCGCUCGCGUGACAACCAUCGGCAGUUGAUAGCGGAUCGAGUGCGAGCGCGCCAAAAACGAAUGAAGAAGUCUGGCUAGAUACUAGAUAGCAUAGCCGAACAUGGUCAGGACCUUCUCACAGGUGCAUGUUGAAGGAUUUCGGUCUUCCCAAUGUGAGUAACCGCUAUUCGGUCUUGUAUGAAUUAGGGUGUAGGAAACGUUCCUGGCGAGUCAAUCGACUCGGUUUUCAUUCGAUACAAGUUGAUGGUAGAGAAUCCUAUGGCUUGAUACACACCAGUGACAACAGCAGUGUCUUUCUUGACUCUUGAGAUGUACCGGUCACAUGCUCAUGCUCCUCUGCAUAAAAAUGAGCUUAUAAGUUAAAAUUGGACAGAGUUUACGAAGUAUUAGGGAGUUUGCGCUGUUGCAAUGCUUCGAGUUGAUUUCUUGGAUCCAUCACAGUAACAGCAUUGUUAGCAUUUCAAAGUAAAUUCAUAGUCCGUUCCCCUUGCAUAUUCAGCUCGGUCGUGGUAGUCUUAGGGAAGUGGGUUUGAUUACUUCACCAUAUUGCACUAGACUUUCCUGAACAAUGGUGAUAAAAUAAUAAUUUAAUGAUAAUCGGCCUAUAUCUAUAUCUUUUCAUUAAAAUGCAUUUGCUGGUUAAGUUUGUAUUCAUUGCAACCACAAUUUUAGUUGUAACAUUUUAGCCCGUAAUAAUAUUUUGCCUUUGAUACCAAGCCCGUAAUAAUAUUUUGCCCUUGAUACCAAG